GUUUUACNCGUGGCNGGCAGGCUUAACACAUGCAAGUCGAGGGGUAAUNACGCUUUCGGGCGUGAACGACCGGCGCACAGGGUGCGGUAACGCGUAUACAAAUUUGCCUUAAACGUGGGAGAUAGCCCCGAAGAAAACUUCGGAUUAAAUAUCCCAUAAUACUAUUUAUUUGGCAUCAUUUACAUAUUAAAGUUACCNGCCGGUUUAAGAUUGAGUUUUGCUGUCCUAUUAGCUAUUAUGGAGGUAACGGCCUUACAUAGGCUAUGAUAGGUAGGGGUUCUGAGAGGGAUACCCCCCACACUGGUACUGAGACACGGGACCAGACUCCUACGGGAGGCAGCAGUGAGGAAUAUUGGACAAUGGGAGCAAUCCUGAUCCAGCCAUGCCGCGUGCAUGAAGACAGUCCUAUGGAUUGUAAACUGCUUUUAUACAGGAAGAAAAAGAGAGAUUCGAUCUCUCAUUGACGGACCUGUACGAAUAAGAAUCGNCUAACUNCGUGCCAGCAGCCGGGGUAAUA
rnacentral:rRNA from 1 species